rnacentral:rRNA from 1 species
UACGUAGGGUCCGAGCGUUGUCCGGAAUUACUGGGCGUAAAGCGUGCGCAGGCGGUUAUGUAAGACAGAUGUGAAAUGCCCGGGCUUAACCUGGGAACUGCAUUUGUGACUGCAUGGCUAGAGUGUGUCAGAGGGGGGUAGAAUUCCACGUGUAGCAGUGAAAUGCGUAGAUAUGUGGAGGAAUACCGAUGGCGAAGGCAGCCCCCUGGGAUAACACUGACGCUCAUGCACGAAAGCGUGGGGAGCAAACAGG